rnacentral:lncRNA from 1 species
CUAGAAGAAUCACGUGUCUACUGCUUCCGCCGGCGCUCGAAAGACCUCGCGAGAAUUCCGUUCCACCUCCCUUUCUGCCCCGCGGGCUGUCGGGAGGAAGGUCUGUGCUCUGCCUUGCCACGAGGAGGUAAUAGGGACGCCUGGGUGAUUCUUGCCCCCUACUGGCGGCGUGUCCCACUGGCCUUGUGCUGAGAGAAAUCCAAGUCUCCAAACAUUUGGAGGUUAAAGUGUGAACUUUUCAGAAGAAAGUAGAGGCAGAGGGAAGAAGAAAGAAAAUAAAAGUCAUGGCAAGAUGAUUACAAAUCAUUCAACUCGAACUCAGCGUUUGUAUGUACUACAGGAAACUCGGAAGCCUGCUGUGCAGAUAACUGCUGUGGUUGGAUGUGCAUUCUAGAAGAAUCACUCAGGAAGCAACGUACCAGAUGGAUCCUAAGAACUGGACUGCAGGUAUGAGGAGUAGACAGAAGAACAGAAACUGAAAUGGAGUAAAAUUGUUGAACAAUAGAAGAAGACCAGGUUCAAGAAAUACUAGGAGGUAAAGCCAAUAACACACAGUGACUGGUUGGAUAGGGUUUAUAAGGAGAGAAGAGUCUAGAAUGAAGCCUCAGUUUCUCACUUUUGUACCUAGGUAGAUAACAAUGCCAUAGCUGAAACUGUGACCUCAGGAAGACAAACAGAUGUGGAGAGGAAGACAGUAAUAUGGAAAGUUUUGCGUAUCUAUUUUUACGUAAUAAAGAACCCCUAAACCUAACA